rnacentral:rRNA from 1 species
CUAGUCUUAUCGGUGGAUCACUCGGCUCGUGGUUCGAUGAAGAACGCAGCUAAAUGCGAUAAAUAGUGCGAACUGCAGAAACGUUGAGCACAAAAGCUUCGAAUGCACAUUGCGCCAUGGGAGUCACUUCCUAUGGCACGCCUGGUUCAGGGUCAUU